rnacentral:rRNA from 1 species
AUGGUAGUAACGGGUAACGGGGAAUUAGGGUUCGAUUCCGGAGAGGGAGCCUGAGAAACGGCUACCACAUCCAAGGAAGGCAGCAGGCGCGCAAAUUACCCAAUCCCGACACGGGGAGGUAGUGACAAGAAAUAACAAACCAGGGCUCUUACGAGUCUUGUUAUUGGAAUGAGUACGAUUUAAACCUCCUAACGAGGAACAAUUGGAGGGCAAGUCUGGUGCCAGCAGCCGCGGUAAUUCCAGCUCCAAUAGCGUAUAUUAAAGUUGUUGCAGUUAAAAAGCUCGUAGUUGAACUUCAGGCCUGUCCAGAUGGUCCGCCUUAAUUGGUGUGUACUGUCCUUGGGUGGGUCCUACCUUCUAAAGAACCAUAAUGUCAUUCAUUUGGUGUUAUGGGGAAUUAGGACUGUUACCUUGAAAAAAUUAGAGUGUUUAAAGCAAGCUUACGCUUGAAUACAUUAGCAUGGAAUAAUGAAAUAGGACAUCCGAUUCUAUUUUGUUGGUUUCUAGGAUCGAUGUAAUGAUUAAUAGGGAUAGUUGGGGGCAUUAGUAUUCAAUUGUCAGAGGUGAAAUUCUUGGAUUUAUUGAAGACUAACUACUGCGAAAGCAUUUGCCAAGGAUGUUUUCAUUAAUCAAGAACGAAAGUUAGGGGAUCGAAGACGACCAGAUACCGUCGUAGUCUUAACCAUAAACUAUGCCGA